UUCCCUUCCCAUUAUGGAACCGCAGACAUUAGAGAUGGACGAAAAUCAAAUCCCUCACACCAAAAAGAUCGGACCCCCCUCCAUUUUUGAAAACUCGAACUAGCCGUCUCUCACUCCUCUCAUUAGGUAAAUGAGACACCUUCGUUUUCCGUUGAAAGAGACAGAACCCAUCCCUGAAAAACCUAGCAGCGGUUAAGAAAACAUAGGGUUGAUGCUUGGAUUCGAGGAGCUUUUCAUCACCAUUUUCUGGGUUUCAAUUUGGUUUUCGACCGAAGAUUAGAUAUGUUUGCUGCCGUACUGCUGAUCUGCUGAGCUUCAUCUUCGUUCUCUUAGCCUUUAUUUGGCAUUUAAGCAAUCAGUGAUCUCCCGUUCUCUGAUAAUGAAGACUUGUCCCAUUUAAUAGCUCAAAAAUGCAAAAUCUAACGAAGAACUAGCUAGUUUGCUGCUGAUGAACAGGUUGUCAUAGAGUAUGACAUCUGCAAACUAUGCCGAUGCCUUGUUUUAUUCAGUGAUGAAAUUGGCAUUGGAUUCUCCACAUGACUCACCUAUUGAAUUGGUCAAGAAUGUUUCUACCGCAGUUAAAAAAUGGAAAAAGCUUCUGAAAUAUUACUUGCCAAGCAUUGAUGAAGAGUAAUAUUGAAGUCUGAAGAAAUGUGCUUGGAAUCUGUGAAGGAGUAUUCUCCAUUAUUUGUACAGGAAAGUCAAGCGAUCAACCGAGUAGAAAUGAAAUUCCACAAUCAGCUGAUGCGAAGAAGACGCUAAACAUCAAUGCAAUUCAAGGAAUUGUGCCAUUAGGGUUAAGCCAAGUAUUGGUGAUGACUCCAAUGGCUCCGGCGAUGUCCACUGGUUCCGACGAAGAUUCCACCGGCUCAAUCAGGUGGAUCAUGGGCAGAUAGAGUAGAGGCGGAAAUUACUGAGACGAGGGAGAUGAGUAAGGCACAAUUGAGCCCUUAACAAGCUCAUGGAGUAAAAUUAUGGAAACAGUACCGGAGGAGGAGGGUUUAAACCUAAAUCGUGAGGGCAGGAGAAAAUGUCAAAUACAAUGGAUGAUAUCAAAGAUGAAAUUGUAUAUUGGAAAACAAUAGUGAUAUGCUAUGUUUUAGGAUCUAAUCCCCCACUGGCUGUAAUUGAUGGUUGCUUUUGGAGGAUAUGAGGAGGUUUGGGUAUUGAUAAAAUUGCACAAGUCAAUAGAGGAGUUUUUGUGGUACGAUUUCACACAACUGAAAGUAGAAUCAAAGUAAUUGAGGUUCCAGGGAUGCCCAAAUUUUCAAGUGAAGCCUGCACAAAAAAGGAAUAUAAGGUUUAUUUUAGUUCUUAUUGUAUAGAAGCUUGGUAUAUCAACAAAACUAAUUCCUAAUAUAGGGCAAAAUAAAA